rnacentral:misc_RNA from 1 species
UUACCGUAGGUGAACCUGCGGAAGGAUCAUUACUGAGUGAGGGCCCCUCGGGGUCCAACCUCCCACCCGUGUUUAACGAACCUUGUUGCUUCGGCGGGCCCGCCUCACGGCCGCCGGGGGGCAUCUGCCCCUGGGCCCGCGCCCGCCGAAGCCACCUGUGAACGCUGUCUGAAGUAUGCAGUCUGAGACAAUUAUUAAAUUAAUUAAAACUUUCAACAACGGAUCUCUUGGUUCCG